GAUUGUCUAAGUAAAUGGGUAGGAGAAUCUGAAAGACAGCUACGAUUGCUGUUUGAUCAGGCCUAUCAGAUGCGCCCAUCAAUUAUUUUUUUUGAUGAAAUUGAUGGUCUGGCUCCAGUACGGUCAAGCAGGCAAGAUCAGAUUCACAGGUAAAACUUGCUUGAUGGCACUUCAACAUUUCUUCCUAUUUCCUGAGUGGUAUUGAUGUGUGAGAGAUAGAAUGUUAAAUGGUGAAAGAAACUUUAUAAGCUAGUAGUUCCUUUUUUUGGUAGUAGAACCCCAGUAUAUAGUACAAAAAUAAAAAAUGUGGACGGGUGCAGUGGCUCGCUCAUACCUGUAUUCCUGGCACUUUGGGAGGCCAAGGCAGGCGGAUCACUUGAGGUCAAGAGUUUGAGACCAGCCUGGACAACAUGGUGAAAUCCUAUCUCUACUUAAAAAAAAAAAAAA
rnacentral:sRNA from 1 species